GACGAACCGUGCAAACGUUAUUCGGAAUCACUGGGCUUAAAGCGUGCGUAGGCGGCUGAGAAAGUUGGGUGUGAAAUCCCUCGGCUCAACCGAGGAAUUGCGCUCAAAACUACUUGGCUUGAGGGAGUUAGAGGUGAGCGGAACUAAUGGUGGAGCGGUGAAAUGCGUUGAUAUCAUUAGGAACACCGGUGGCGAAAGCGGCUCACUGGGACUCUUCUGACGCUGAGGCACGAAAGCUAGGGUAGCAAACGGG
rnacentral:rRNA from 1 species